rnacentral:rRNA from 1 species
UUCCUACGGGUGGCAGCAGUGGGGAAUUUUGGACAAUGGGCGCAAGCCUGAUCCAGCCAUGCCGCGUGUGUGAAGAAGGCCUUCGGGUUGUAAAGCACUUUCGGCCGGAACGAAAUCGCGCGGGCGAAUAUCCCGCGUGGAUGACGGUACCGGAAGAAGAAGCACCGGCUAACUACGUGCCAGCAGCCGCGGUAAUACGUAGGGUGCGAGCGUUAAUCGGAAUUACUGGGCGUAAAGGGUGCGGAGGCGGCCCCGCAUGUCAGGCGUGAAAUCCCCGGGCUUAACCUGGGAAUGGCGCUUGAAACUACGGGGCUGGAGUAUGGCAGAGGGAGGUGGAAUUCCACGUGUAGCGGUGAAAUGCGUAGAGAUGUGGAGGAACACCGAUGGCGAAGGCAGCCUCCUGGGCCAAUACUGACGCUCAUGCACGAAAGCGUGGGGAGCAAACAGGAUUAGAUACCCGGGUAGUC